rnacentral:lncRNA from 1 species
CUUCCCAGCUCGGAGGAGACGCUGCUCCUGCAGACUGCUUGUUGGAACCCUGGUAUCCAUCGGAUGUUAGGAUUUGUCGUUGCAUCUGACGCCGGCAGAGGGCGUCCAAGGUUCAGGGUGUCACGGAGGCAGAGAAGGCUUGGAAGACCAGAGCCUUGAGAUGCUUUUUCAACAAACUCAAACCAGUCUUUGUGGACACAGAGCAGGAGUCAAAUCCCCAGGAUUAAAUUCGCCCCCUCUAAAAAGCAUUUCAUACCAUUCUGGAGCAAGAGCCACCAUGAAGCCACCUGCCACCUGCAAUACAGUCCACAAACCAUCAGAAUACCUGUGUCCGUACCUCUGGCAAUGGUGUCCGGUCAUUUGUGACUUCUACCUGGUCUACAAGAGGGAAAGACUGAAGAAAACUCAAAAAGAACACCAUUACAAAGAGUAACCCAGAAC